CACUGUCAUGUUAUUUUCAGCUCUUUUGGAGUUGUAGGAAGCUGAAACUGACCUUGAUGGCAGUCAGAAAAAUCCUAGUGGAAUUUGCAACACUUUCCCCUGGGACUAAGAUAAACACCACUGGACAGAA
ensembl:snoRNA